UAACGAGAAAGAAACGAAAAC
rnacentral:piRNA from 1 species